GUGCUUAACACAUGCAAGUCGAACGAUGAACCACUUCGGUGGGGAUUAGUGGCGAACGGGUGAGUAACACGUGGGCAAUCUGCCCUGCACUCUGGGACAAGCCCUGGAAACGGGGUCUAAUACCGGAUACUGACCCGCUUGGGCAUCCAAGCGGUUCGAAAGCUCCGGCGGUGCAGGAUGAGCCCGCGGCCUAUCAGCUUGUUGGUGAGGUAAUGGCUCACCAAGGCGACGACGGGUAGCCGGCCUGAGAGGGCGACCGGCCACACUGGGACUGAGACACGGCCCAGACUCCUACGGGAGGCAGCAGUGGGGAAUAUUGCACAAUGGGCGAAAGCCUGAUGCAGCGACGCCGCGUGAGGGAUGACGGCCUUCGGGUUGUAAACCUCUUUCAGCAGGGAAGAAGCGAAAGUGACGGUACCUGCAGAAGAAGCGCCGGCUAACUACGUGCCAGCAGCCGCGGUAAUACGUAGGGCGCGAGCGUUGUCCGGAAUUAUUGGGCGUAAAGAGCUCGUAGGCGGCUUGUCACGUCGGUUGUGAAAGCCCGGGGCUUAACCCCGGGUCUGCAGUCGAUACGGGCAGGCUAGAGUUCGGUAGGGGAGAUCGGAAUUCCUGGUGUAGCGGUGAAAUGCGCAGAUAUCAGGAGGAACACCGGUGGCGAAGGCGGAUCUCUGGGCCGAUACUGACGCUGAGGAGCGAAAGCGUGGGGAGCGAACAGGAUUAGAUACCCUGGUAGUCCACGCCGUANACGGUGGGCACUAGGUGUGGGCGACAUUCCACGUCGUCCGUGCCGCAGCUAACGCAUU
rnacentral:rRNA from 1 species